GCCUGGCUAGCUCAGUCCAUAGAGCAUGGGACUCUUAAUCCCAGGGUCAUGGGUUCUAGCCCCAUAUUAGGCA
rnacentral:tRNA from 1 species